AAGCCAAAAUGCAAAAUCCCGUCGCCCCUGACGCCUCACUCCUCCCCUCCCUCCCUCACCCAUUCCAUUCCCCCCUCCCUCUCUCUCUCUGCACCGCACCCGAACCGAGCGACGCCUCCCUUCCGACCCAUACCAUACCCACUCCGCGGCGACGACACCGGCGGUCGGCCCUAGGCGCGGACGGAGUCCGGCAAGCUCCCCGGUCCUCGUUACAUCACCCACCUCGGGCGCGGGCCUCUGCUCCAGCCGGAGGCUAAUAGGUCUUGUCGCUUCCUUGCUGUAUACUGAGAUAAUAUGGUUGAGUGCACGAUGGUAUCGACCUUACUUGACGGUCUUCCUAAUGAAGUGGCUCUCCAGUGCCUUGCACGUGUCCCGUUUGUAUCCCAUCCUAUUCUUCAGCUGGUUUGCCGCUCUUGGAGAGCAUCUGUUCGCAAUGGGGAGCUUCUCAAUGUUCGGAAUCAGAUUGGGGCGACGGAAGAACUGCUAUGUGUGUUGGCAUUCGAACCUGAAAACAUUUGGCAACUUUAUGAUCCUCGUCGAGACAAGUGGAUAACUCUCCCUGUCAUGCCAUCUCAGAUUAGGAACAUUGCCCGUUUUGGAGUUGCCUCUGUUGCUGGAAAACUCUAUGUAAUUGGUGGUGGCAGUGAUAGAGUUGACCCCCUUACUGGAGACCAUGACACAAUCUUUGCGAGCAAUGAGGUCUGGUCUUAUGAUCCUCUCCACCGCUUGUGGGCCCAGAGGGCUCCAAUGCUUGUAGCUCGAGCGAUGUUUGCUUGUUAUGCAUUGGAUGGGAAGAUAAUUGUUGCUGGGGGCUUUACAAACUGCCGCAAAUCGAUAUCAGAGGCUGAGAUUUACGAUCCUGAAGCUGACACAUGGAAGUCCCUCCCUGACCUCCGCCAGGCACACCCCUCUGCAUGCUCUGGUCUUGUCUUCAAGGAUAAGAUGCACGUAUUGCAUAAAGGGAUAUCCACAGUCCAGAUUCUCGAAGAUGGCGGUAAUUAUUGGGCUGUUGAGGACUACUCUUGGCUGCAAGGCCCAAUGGCAAUGGUUGGUGGAGAGUUGUAUGUGCUGAGCAAUAGCUGCAUUAGGAAGCAGCAUGGUGAGAAUUUCCCUGAUAAGAUGGUUCCUUGUGCAUCAGGAUUCCAAAGCAGGAUCGGCUUUGGCAUGAUUGGCUUAGGGGACAGCAUAUGUUUGUUUGGUGGAGUGAUCGGCCCUGGGCCAAGAAAUCAGUGCAUUAAGCCAUUGUCUGAUGUUGAUAUCUUGAAUGUCGCAAGCGAGAGGCCAACCUGGCGACAAGGAUCACCGAUGACGCGUUGCCGAGGGAGUAUCGCAGGCUGUGCUCUGCUGAAGAUCUAGGCUCGUUCCAGUGUGGCAAUGCUGUUGCUGAAAACUGCAGAUGGAUUUUAUUUAUUCUGCAUCUCAUUUAAUUUCUGAAAAAAAGGUUAACUAUGCUUUUAGUUUUGGAUCACUUGUUGUAGCAUUGAGGAUAUAUGUUGGCCAUGACUCGAAUGUCAGAUUGUCAGUCAGUUAUUAUACGACUACUAUAUUAUAGUACAUGUGCCUUGCAG
rnacentral:rRNA from 1 species